GGGUGGAUUAGUGGCGAACGGGUGAGUAACACGUGAGUAACCUGCCCUUGACUCUGGGAUAAGCGUUGGAAACGACGUCUAAUACCGGAUACGAGCUUCCACCGCAUGGUGAGUUGCUGGAAAGAAUUUUGGUCAAGGAUGGACUCGCGGCCUAUCAGCUUGUUGGUGAGGUAACGGCUCACCAAGGCGACGACGGGUAGCCGGCCUGAGAGGGUGACCGGCCACACUGGGACUGAGACACGGCCCAGACUCCUACGGGAGGCAGCAGUGGGGAAUAUUGCACAAUGGGCGAAAGCCUGAUGCAGCAACGCCGCGUGAGGGACGACGGCCUUCGGGUUGUAAACCUCUUUUAGCAGGGAAGAAGCGAAAGUGACGGUACCUGCAGAAAAAGCACCGGCUAACUACGUGCCAGCAGC
rnacentral:rRNA from 1 species